rnacentral:rRNA from 1 species
AGCAGCCGCGGUAAUUCCAGCUCCAAUAGCGUAUAUUAAAGUUGUUGCAGUUAAAAAGCUCGUAGUUGAGUUUCGGGGUUUAUCCGUUGGUCGGGCUUUUGGGUCUGUACUGGCGUGAUGGAUUCCUACCUUCUGAAUAACCAGCAUGUCAUUAAUUUGGUGCGUUGGGGAAGCAGGACUGUUACCUUGAAAAAAUUAGAGUGCUUAAAGCAGGCUAUUGCCUGAAUACAUUAGCAUGGAAUAAUGAAAUAGGACGCAUGGUUCUAUUUUGUUGGUUUCUAGGAUCACCGUAAUGAUUAAUAGGGAUAGUUGGGGGCAUUAGUAUUCAAUUGUCAGAGGUGAAAUUCUUGGAUUUAUUGAAGACUAACUUCUGCGAAAGCAUUUGCCAAGGAUGUUCUCAUUAAUCAAGAACGAAAGUUAGGGGAUCGAAGACGAUCAGAUACCGUCGUAGUCUUAACCAUAAACUAUGCCGACUAGGGAUCGGACGAUGUUAAUUUUUUAAUGACUCGUUCGGCGCCUU